UUAAUAACGAGGAAAACAGAUCUCCGAAAGAUUAAGCAACUUGCUCAAAUCAUCCAACCAAGAUUCAAGCCCAUGCUUUCCCAGUGCCAAAGCCCGUGUUCUCCCUACCAUGUUAUGCUGGCACUGUGUCUUCAACUUUGAACUGGAAUCCACAUAAGCAGUGUCCAGCUGUAACCUGUGAAGAGGAUAUAAAAAUAUGAGAUGCUACUGCCAUUCUGAGGGCAUUCAUGUAUCAAACCCUGCCUUAGGGUAUGAACCACAUGGAUGUUGAGAACCAGGGCAGGGGUUGCACGUCGGCCAGCUUGCUUAGUUGGUCCAUCAGGAAUAUGAAGUUAAGUGCCUGUCCAUAUAGACAAUUAAUCCUUAGAGCACCCGGCUGGAUGGCUGAGUUCCACUGUGUUUGGUUUGAGUUUUUAUUUUUGGAACACAAAUAAGGUCGGAAAUUCUGAGGCAUUUUUAAAUAGUUCUGAGCCUGUGACACAUUACACUCAUCCCACCAAAUGAUAACUUGCAUCAGAAAUAUUGAGAUGUGGCCAGAGAAAGAAGAUUCCCGAAGAGAAGAAUAACUUAGACAAAGGAUGGGCUGCCAAUAGAGAGAGGAAAGGGAGGGGAUUAGACCUUUGGUGUCAUGAAAAGUAGGAAGAAGAGGCAAAUGGAGGUGAAGGUAUCAACUCUACUCAUGGCUGCCCAGUGGUUCCUAAAGUACAGUCUAGAGAUGUAAGUCUAGGAGUGCUCCAUGCACUGAGUGAAAUCUAAACCCCUCAGGACUAUAUACAAUAAGAAGAGAGGAAGCUAAGGAUGAAAUCCUGAGGAUUGUAGUUCUUAAAAGGAUCCUCAUGAAGACUGACAAGGAGCACAGAGUUGCAGGAAGUUAUGGUGUCAGAAAAUCCAAAGGAUUUGGGAGCAGCAUUUAGGAAAAGAAGGAGUGCCCGCCUGCCUCAAAUGCUGCCAAGAAAUCAGUGAAGGUGUGAGCCGCAACCACAAAUGCAUCCAUGGGAUUUUACAACAAAAGAAGUCUUAAAAAAAAAAAAACACCCACAAAACUUGCUGUUCUCCCAUCCCAACCUCCCUAGAGUCUAAUCACAUAGGACCAUCUACGUUUUGUUUUCCAGUGUACCUUCACAUCUGGCUCCCAUUGGGUAUAAAAAUAUGACACUGAAAGAU